GAAUUGCGAUAAGUAAUGUGAAUUGCAGAUUUUCAGUGAAUCAUCGAAUCUUUGAACGCACCUUGCGCUCCUUGGUAUUCCGAGGAGCAUGCCUGUUUGAGUGUCAUUAAAUUCUCAACCAUGUCUUGAUUGACGUCGAGCGCAUGGCUUGGACGAUGGGGGUUGCUGGCAGCGUCAGCCGUCAGCUCUCCUGAAAUGCAUUAGCGGAAGGCGAACAGUCCUUCGUGCACGGCCUUCGACGUGAUAAUGAUCGUCGUGGCUGGAGCGAUGGGACGGGUCUUGUCGUCGCUGCUUCUAAUCUGAUCCUAGCGAUCGCUUUCUUGAAACUUGACCUCAAAUCAGACAGGACUACCCGCUGAACUUAA
rnacentral:rRNA from 1 species